rnacentral:rRNA from 1 species
AUGCGCCGCGUGGCCCACCUCAUCCUCGUCCAGUCCGCCGGAACGGAGCUGAUGGGCCUCAAAGCCGCCGUCUUUCUCUCCGUCCCCGCCGCCGUCACGCCGACACUCCGCCGCCACCACCUCUCCUCGUCCUCCAGGGGCAAAGGCGCCGCCUCGAGGCUUCUCAGGAUCUCAGCAGCGGUGAUGGCCACGGCGGUGCAGCCGGCGGUGGUGGUGGGCGGCGGCCGGGUGGGCCAGGCGCUGCUCUCCAUGGGCCCCUCCUCCGGGGACCUCCUGCUCCGCCGCGGCGAGGCGCUCCCGCCCGCCGCGCCGGCCGGGCCCAUCCUGGUCUGCACCCGCAACGACGACCUCGACGGCGUGCUCGACGCCACCCCCAAAUCCCGGUGGCCCGACCUGGUCUUCUUCCAGAACGGGAUGCUGGAUCCGUGGCUGGAGAGCAAGGGCCUGGCCGGCGCCAACCAGGUGCUCGCCUACUUCGCCGUCUCCAAGCUCGGCGAGCCCCCCGUCGACGGCAUCACCGACGCCAACCCGGAGGGGCUCACAGCCGCCUUGGGCAACUGGGCACCCGCCGUCGCCGCGCGCCUCCAGAACGGCGGCCUCACCUGCAAGGUGCUUGACAAGGACGCCUUCGAGAAGCAAAUGCUAGAGAAGCUCAUCUGGAUUUCAGCCUUCAUGCUCGUCGGAGCUCGCCAUCCAGGGGCCACUGUGGGUGCUGUUGAAAAGGAAUACCGAUCCGAGGUAUCCAGCCUCAUCGCUGAAUUAGCUUCUGCCGCUGCUGCAGAGCGGGGGCUUACUUUCGACGAGGGCAUGGAAGAGAGGCUCUGCGCCUACUCCAGAGCCGUGGCGCACUUCCCGACCGCUGUCAAAGAGUUCAAGUGGCGGAACGGUUGGUUCUACUCGCUCACCGAGAAGGCCCUCGCGGAAGGGAAGCCUGAUCCAUGCCCGCUCCACACAGCUUGGCUCAAGGAGAUUAAGGUCAUAUAG